UGGGGAAUAUUGGACAAUGGGCGAAAGCCUGAUCCAGCCAUGCCGCGUGAGUGAUGAAGGCCUUAGGGUUGUAAAGCUCUUUUACCCGGGAAGAUAAUGACGGUACCGGGAGAAUAAGCCCCGGCUAACUACGUGCCAGCAGCCGCGGUAAUACGUAGGCAGCAAGCGUUGUUCGGAAUUACUGGGCGUAACGAGUGUGUAGGCGGUGUUCUAAGUCUGUUGUGAAAUCUCCCGGCUUAACUGGGAGGGUGCGGCGGAGACUGGAAUGCUAGAGUAUGGGAGAGGUAAGCGGAAUUCCUGGUGUAGCGGUGAAAUGCGUAGACAUCAGGAGGAACACCUGUGGUGUAGACAGCUUACUGGACCAUGACUGACGCUGAGACACGAAAGCGUGGGUAGCAAACAGGAUUAGAUACCCUGGUAGUCCACGCCCUAAACGAUGCAUACUUGGUGUGAGCCAUUCAUUUGGUUCGUGCCGGAGCUAACGCGUUAAGUAUGCCGCCUGGGGAGUACGGUCGCAAGGCUG
rnacentral:rRNA from 1 species